UUGAAGGGUUCCCUUUCCUUCCUUCCUUUUCCUCUCCGUGAGAAACAAAGAGUCUUUCUCCUGUCGAUGUACUUCUGUGCAUGCAUGUCCACGCGUCGCCGAAAGCGGCGACGACAUACGCUCACACCAUUUCUCGCGCGUCGAGAAAUCGUUGUCCUUCUACGCUUUUGAGUCCUAACUUCUUCUCCUCAUCCUCUGUUUUUUACGGUAGUUUUGGCAGAAGUCCUGAGCCUCCGCCCUCGUUCUCCAGUUUCUCGACCUCGCGCGAAGGUUCUUCGCCUUCUCUCUGCUUUUUCUCGCCGACGCAAGAUCGCUUCUCUCUUCUUCCACUCUCUCCGUGUCGUUUCUCCGUUGUUCCUUUGCGAUCGGGUGUAUCGAUUCUCACUCAGGCGUCUGUUCCAGCGAACGAGAGAUGUCCCCCUUCCUCGCCUGUUCGCUGUUCUCUCCAGAUGUCUCUCUGUGCACCUGUGGAUUCAUAUGCAGUAGCAUCACAACGCAUCCAGUCUCGGUGUCGAGCUUCAUGUCAAACAUACGCAUGCAUAUAUGCUCGUAAAUCUGCAGACAUGUGAUUCCGUAUAUCUGCGUGUAUGCGCAUCUGUGUGCCCC
rnacentral:lncRNA from 1 species